GACAGAGGGUGCAAACGUUGUUCGGAAUUACUGGGCGUAAAGCGCGUGUAGGCGGCUUCGCAAGUCGGGCGUGAAAUCCCACGGCUCAACCGUGGAAGUGCACUCGAAACUGCAGAGCUAGAGUCCUGGAGAGGAAGGUGGAAUGCUUGGUGUAGAGGUGAAAUUCGUAGAUAUCAAGCGGAACACCGGUGGCGAAGGCGGCCUUCUGGACAGUGACUGACGCUGAGACGCGAAAGCGUGGGGAGCAAACAGG
rnacentral:rRNA from 1 species